AUGUGGUGUCCAGAGUUAAAUUCAGUGCAAUACAUUGGUAAGAAAAUGCCAAUUAACUGUGGACAAAUAGGCCACUGGUCAACUAGAAUGACAUUUAAGAACAUUAUGAAAUGUAAGUAUGAAAACUCAACAGAACACAGAGGCUCCCUUUGGCUGUGAAUCUGCAAAAGCUAUUAUACUCAGCUCUAAUCAGCAGGGAAAUACAGGCUCUCUUUCAGUCACUGGGCUGACUCCAGUGGUCCAUAGGCGUCUAACAUGUCACUGAAAGCUGUAUCUGCUGGCCCCAUGGCAAGCGGUAAUCUAGCCUUAAAUGCGGGAACGACUCCUCACCCACUUCUUUGCUUUAAAGAGGACUAAAUAUUAUUUUCUUUGCUUUAUCCAACAGCCCACUCUCCGUGUUUGAAUAACACAAACAAGCUGACAACAUGUAAGAACCAUUUAAUGUGUUUUCCUUUGGUUGGCUAAUCUUUGGUAAGACAUCAGGGCAGACUACGUAUUGUCACACUUCGGUGUCAGCAGCAGAUUCUGCUCAGCUUACAGGACGGCGGGGAGACAGCGCCCAGAACAACUUGGAAAGAACCAGUAUCUCCGGAGCCUCCAACAGUGCCUGGCACGAGGCAGUGAUGGAAUGAUACAUGAGAAGUAGCAGGCGGGUGGCACUGCAGGAUGAGUGGAAGGAGGGCGGUUCCAUGCACGGACUCCGGCCCUCAGCCUCCUAUAAGGGAGCGAAGAGGCAGGCUAUGGCAUGGCUCCAUCCCCCCUGUGGCUGCCAUCCUAGAACGAUUUGAUUUUCUGCUUGCAAGAGUGAAGGCGUACAGUUUAACUUCCACGAGGGUUUCCACCACCUUCCACUGCACGAAAUCCUCAUCCCACAGGUGACGCUCCCUCAGCACGCGAUUCAAAACCACCGAGGGGGGCGCUUCCACCUCCACAGAAGCCUUCCACAGCUUCAGCGGAUGCCCGUCUCCCACCUUGGGAAAGAUACCAGCACAUGCUGAAGAGGUUGCUGGUUCCAACACAACCUACCAUCCUUCACUGGGUGUUCAAAAAACAUCACUGAGUAUGUAACUUGAAAGAGUGACUCUGAAUACCUCAGGUUUAGAAUUUUUAAAUGUUUAUCCUUAAGCUGAAAAAAGAAUACUGAUAAUAAAAACGAUAACCACCAACA